AGCAUGUGCGCGAGUCAUUGGGACAAACCUAAAGGCGAAAUGAAAGUAAAGGUCAGCCUUGGACCGAGGGAGGAUGGGCCGGCUCGCCGGCCCCGCACUCCCGGGGCGUCUCGUUCUCAUUGCGAGAAGAGGCGCACCCAGAGCGUACACGCUGGGACCCGAAAGAUGGUGAACUAUGCCUGGUCAGGACGAAGUCAGGGGAAACCCUGAUGGAGGUCCGUAGCGAUUCUGACGUGCAAAUCGAUCGUCGGAACUGGGUAUAGGGGCGAAAGACUAAUCGAACCAUCUAGUAGCUGGUUCCCUCCGAAGUUUCCCUCAGGAUAGCUGGCGCUCGCCGCGUGCGAGUCUCAUCCGGUAAAGCGAAUGAUUAGAGGCAUUGGGGUCGAAACGGCCUCAACCUAUUCUCAAACUUUAAAUGGGUGAGAUCUCCGGCUUGCUUGAACGUGAAGCCGCGAGAUUUCGGAUCAGAGUGCCAAGUGGGCCAUUUUUG
rnacentral:rRNA from 1 species